CCUACGGGUGGCAGCAGUGGGGAAUGUUGCGCAAUGGGGGAAACCCUGACGCAGCAACGCCGCGUGCGGGACGACGGCCCUCGGGUUGUAAAACGCUUUCAGUGGGGACGAUGGUGACGGUACCCACAGAAGAAGCUCCGGCUAACUACGUGCCAGAAGACGCGGUAAUACGGAGGGAGCGAGCGUUAUCCGGAUGCAUUGGGCGUAAAGCGCGCGUAGGCGGCUGCAUAAGCGGACCCUCGAAUCCCGGGGCUCAACCUCGGGCCGCGUUUCGAAAUGGGCGGCUCGAGUGCGGUAGAGGCAGGCGGAAUGCCCGGUGUAGCGGUGGAAUGCGCAGAUAUCGGGAAGAACACCGAUGGCGAAGGCAGCCUGCUGGGCCCUCACUGACGCUGAGGCGCGAAAGCUGGGGGAGCGAACAGGAUUAGAUACCCGGGUAGUC
rnacentral:rRNA from 1 species